UUGUCGGCAUCUCCGAAAUACCAAGGAGUGAGGGCGAGGGCGUGUUCGUGAAAGGUACGUUGUUCGUGAAAGGUAUUUUGUAUGGUAUAUGAUAACGGACACUGAAAGUGGAGGCUGAUAUUGCACGGUGGGCAGCGGAGAAAAGGGGGAUCGGCAAUCUUUUUUCCACAGGCAAAGCAACGAUGCGGACUAUAUGUAGGUCGCGUUUCCUCGAGAAGGAGAAGAUUGCCAUGACAAUGACUUUGAAUUGUCGGCUCUGGCUCUAAGAAAAGACAUUGAACUUCCACAUAGAAGUUACAUCCCUGACAGCCGUAGACACAGCUGCCGCGGAACUUUUCUCCACAGGCAUUGCAUGUUGUGGUUUUCCUAAGCCUUUCAGUAUCCACGUCGAGAGUGAGAGGGUGUGCCAGGUGCAGCGGGUGUUUGGCGAUUUCUUUUGGAAAAUUCACACAAAAGCUGUGCAAGAAAAUUUUGCACUUGGCGCAGUGGUAGGAUUUGACCCUUUCAUCAUCCGAAAUGGGCAAGUCGCAGGCAAUGCAAACAGCUUCGUCUUUAACCUUCUUGUUACUCUUGUUUGAAGUUGACUUGUCUUUAACCUUUUUAAAAAGACUGAGUGUGUGCUUUUUGUGAAAGCCACAGUUGAUCUUUUGCUGCAAUUCUUCAGAUGGGUCUUUCCCCACAGAUUGCUUGAAAACAUUACUACCAUCCUUCUGUACCAAAAAAACUUCAUCAUCCUUCCUCUCAAUAAAAGUUUUAAUCAAUGUCAUCAGAUUUUCCUGCCAACCUGAUGCUGACAUAGUCUUGGAAUACCGCACCAGUUUCAGAGUUCCAUUCUUCUGACCUUCCUCUCCAAGGGUCAGCCUCUCCGGUUCUGAAGUUUCACCGCGGCACUCCUGCUCUGAAGUUUCACUUGGGUCAUCCCAAUGCUCAUCGUCCCAAGAGGUCAGUACUUUGUUUGGUCCCACUAUUUCUAUGAUAUCCCUCGAGAUCCUCCCCAUUGAGUAUGAUAGCAGAGUUGUCAUUCGCAGUUCGCGUUUCUCCUGAAGUGCCUUCAUGCCCUCGCUGAGGUUUGCCAUUUCAUUAUCAAGCAGCAUACAUUUCUCCUCAAGUGCCUUCAUUAGCUUAAUUGCCGCAUCGUCAUUAUCAAGCUUGGCAAGAGCUGGGCCAGUACUGCCGAGACCAAAGUAAGAAAGCAUUGCUCUUCUUAAGCGGUCGAUGGCAAAUUGAACUUCAAACCCUGCAUCCUUCGCAAUUUUGAAGCAGUCCCAACAGGUUAAAAGCUGACAUUCAUUGAUCUCCGCAUCCUUGGUGUUGCAUAUGCUGUAUAUGGCAGCACAUAUUAUCACGAAGAUAAAUGUGUUUCCAUAUUGACUCAUUUUGGACUUGGCGCUGAAGUUUCCAUAUAUGGAGAACAAGGCUUCUAAGACGGGUUCCAAAUUCUUUGAUAUCAUGUGCCCAUUGACAGAGGUAAUUACUUGAGAUCUUGUAUCAUAAUAUGUCAAACCGAAUGUGGGGUCUUGACGUUUGGAUUCAAAUAUUUCCAUGAUUUUAGCUAAUACUUUCCUCCCCCUUGUUGCAUCUUUGACAUCAUCAUUUAGUUUCCUCUCCUGAUCACCCUCUUCCUCCGUAAUGGGUUCAAAUAUUUCUAUUUCAUGAGCGAAUGGCUUAUUUUCAGUGCUGCUGCUGCCACCAUCAUCUUGCUGGUCCUUUAGUAAUAUUUUCCUUCCAGCUUGGUCCUUUUCACUUCUUGCAACUUCAACAGCAUCAUUUAGUUUCCUCCCCUGAUCAUCCUCUGGCAUGGACACAAUUUUGAAUAUUUUCUCAUCCUCCUCCGUAAUGGAUUCUAAAAUCUCACUGACUGUUGGAAAAGGAUUUUCAAUUACAACUGGUAAAGGAUUCAGCGUCAUGUUACCAAGUUUGUGAGCUAAGGACCACCCCAUCUGAAAAGUAAACAAGGCAAUACAAGUGAUCACUGCACUGAGCUACAUAACAUCUUAUAGUGGAAACACAGUGAAGAACAUGAAUGAAAAAUACAUGGGUUGCAUAUGUGCUCGGCCUAAAUAUGUAUUGUAAGCGGACAAAAUAUACAAUAACGGAGUUUGGCCUUGCUAGGGCAGAGUCCUCCACCGAGAUGUCUCUAUGGAACAAGCUCAGAGGUCCUCUGCGCCGGAGCUCGUACAGGCACUAUCGAAGACUGGACCUGUCUGAGCUAAGGCUACCUUACUCGUAAGUUGUCGCAGCUUAGUAAGCUUGGUAGGAUAACCAGCUGGAGCAUGGACGAGGGCCAAUGGCCGACGGUAAUCCUGAGGGAUAUCAGGAGCAAAAAUUCUGAGUUCACUGUUCAAAAGUGUCGACACCUGAAAGUCAAGUGUCGACACUACCAGAAAGUGUCGACGCCUGAAAAUCAGGUGUCGACACCUGAGACCCGAACUUCAAACUUUUUCUAUAUAAACCAAAAUUUUCAGUUAGGGUUCAACACCGAAAAUAAAACUUCAAUAAGCUAAAUAUAAGCCAUUAACAACAUACCCAAUGAAAAAUUCCAACAAGUAAACCUCCUUUACAACUUUCAUUAUAAACCAAGUUUUCUCAUUUCAAGUUCAAUGCUCAAAAUAAUGUCUCAAUAGACUUUAUAUAAGCUAUUGACAAUAACCCAAGAUUAAACCCCACAAGGAAAACCCCUUUUACCUCAAAUUCAAGCAAUGCAAGCUCCAAAUAUGGUGAAGAAGAUGAGAUAAAUCCCCAAUUCCGAUUUGCUCCGAUUCCAAAUCUUUUGGACUCAAAACUUUCUUCUAAAGGAUCACCACUCAAAUCUCACUUCAACUUACACAAAUCUAACAUUAAUUGUGAAAAUCUAUUUGGCUCAAAACCUAGAGAGAGAGGAAGAAAAGAAAUAAAUGUUGAAAAUUAAUGAAUUUGGAACAUGUUAGGUUAAGGCAAUAAAUGAUACUUGGGUCUUGGGCCUUGCUUGGCCCAAGUCACAACCCAAACCAAUCUUGGGUCCAAUCCAUUUGGCUCAAAACCUAGAGAGAGAGAGGAAGAAAAGAAAUAAAUCUUGGCUCACUCUCUCUCACACAUCCACUUUCAAACCCAAUAAAAACUCUAUCUUUAUUUUUUAUAUGGGUAAACUCACAUAUAUAUACAUACACACAUGUAUAUAUAUACAUGAUAUCGCACGUGCAUCCUAAUUAUGUCAUAUAUAAAAAGAAAAAAAAUUUGAAGCUUAUAGUCGGCACGUACGAGCACGCGCUGAGCUGCAGUCUGUCCAGUGACAAGGCAACUAGCGCGCCAAGGCAAGCGUCGAGUUGUGCCAUAUAAAGUCAGUCUUUCUUUGGAAGGUACGCACACUUUGGAUAAGAAACGCAUAUUCUCUCUCUUUCUCUCUCUACAUUCUCCAGUCAUCUAACUUGAUCGUUGGAGAGCUGUUCAGUGUUGCAGCAAGGACACUGCUAGACGACAGGUUAAAGCUACCUACACAGUUGUAGAACCACCGUGGGUGUCUAUCCUCGAUUUUCUUUCUCUUAUAUCUCAAUCAUACAACCUCACAAUUGUCACCGUCUGUAGGAAAUCGAUUAUAGACAUUUGCAAAACCAAUUCUGAUGGCAUUGCAAAGCAACAAUUGUUAUGGCAGUCAUGAAACUCGCAGGGAGACCCGUCAUGCACCUAAAACUCCUGAGUGCAGAGGGGGUAAACUACUGGAUAUACCUAUAGGGGGCUAAGGCCACCUCAGGGCAAAAUCCAAGUUGAUUGCUCCCUAGAGGAGCGAAAAGCCGGGAUAUAAUCAUCUAAUGCCUAAAAAUGCAAUUAGCCAAUAUGGCACAAAUUUUAGUUGACAAUAGGCUGAUGAAGUCAGCCCAAAUGGCAGGGGCAGGACAAUUUAGAAGCGUGAUUAAGGAAUCGGUCUUGCCGCCUUUGGAAGUUCAGGAUAUGAGACAACAUAGAUACCAUAUUAGCCUGGAUAGCUGAUCAGAUAGCAAAUCUGUAGCAUUGAGCAAGCGAAUAAGAUCACUCGACCGAACUAGGUCUGAGGUGGAUCUCCGCGAGACAUUCAAUGCUAAGCAAGAUUGAGAGGGGGACUUGCGUACUAAACUCAAUGGUCGUAAAACAGUGACAAUAUGUAAGGUUCGGCAGUCCGCAUAGCUCAAAGCAAAUAAAAAGAGGCGAUCCCUAGGUACCAGAUGCCAUUCUUCCGAGACAUUGAGGAAAUGGAUCCACCAGAGAAGUUUAUGCCACUAAGGUUCACACUAUAUGACGGGAAGUCAAAUCCGAGGUCCCAUGUGAGCCAUGUCAAGCAAGUGAUGGCCCUUUGGAACCACAUGGAUGCCUUUAUAUGCUGUGUGUUCCUAUCAAGCUUGGGAGAUCUCGAUCUGAAGUGGUUUGACAAACUGCCCGCAAGGUCAGUCGAGAACUUCUAAAAAUUGACUGAAUCAUUCGUAGCUCGGUUCGUGAUUAACACAAAGGCACCAAAAGGCGUAGGUUCUCUUUUAAUGCUUAAAAAGGGCAAGAACGAAUCAAUCAGAAACUAUAGCAAGCGAUACUGAGAUAUGUAUAAUGAGAUUUAAGAGUGCUCCAAGGAGUUGGCAGUGGCGAGCUACAAGCUUAGGCUAACUCCUGUAGAGAGACUCUAGGAGAACUUGACACUCAACCCUCCAACCGAUCUCCUGUACCUCAUGUCCUAGGUCGAGAUGUCGGACAAGUAGAAAAAGCUAUAGGGACAACUACCAAGGGUGAGGGUUCAUUCAAAAAGCAGAAGGAAAGCUUGGUUGACUACAAGAGUUGGGUGAGGCAGGGGAUCAACAUGGUUCUAAAGAACCAAUCUUUAAGCUCCUUGCCCCAAUUCGAGAUAAAUCUUAUUUUAGAAAGCUCAAACCAUGGAGGGAGAUCCCAAGAGGCUCAACCAAUGGUGGAAGUGUUCCUUCCAUGGUUAGAUUCAACGCUUAGUCUCACUGGCUCAUGGGAAUUGUUCCCAAGAGCAAGAGUUCAUUGUUGUGGAUAUACAUUUC
rnacentral:lncRNA from 1 species